ensembl:lincRNA
AUGAUUGAAGUAAUAUUUGCUGUAUGGAAGGAUGGAUUCAAGGACCACCCAGUUAUCUUGGAAGGGGAUCAGUUCAUCCAUAUGCUUCCUUUGGAGGAUGACUAUAAACCAGAAGAUGUACUUAAUAUUUUCAAGAUGGAUCCUAAUUUGAUAGAGAAAGAAGAAAGGUACAAAGCUAUUAAGAAGGAAAUACUUGAUGAAAGAGACAGUGAUUUAAACACAGACCAAGAUGCAAGAAGUAGUGAAGAGGAGGAAGGAAAAGAUAAAGACAGACAAAAGACAUUCAAGAUCGGAUCGGCCUCUGAUGACCCACGAAUAAGAGGCGGCUCUCACCUCCUAUUCCCCACGGGACGGGGUCCCCCCAGAGAGCCGCAAUAAGAAAUGUUUUAAGUAUACUAAUUAAGCAAAAAAUAAAAACUUAAAUUGGAAGCCAAAGUAUAUUUAUCAAUUAGCUAAAGUGCAUAACCUGAUUUCUCUGUUGCCCAGGGGAAACUUUCAAGGGAGGAGGGCUUGAACCCCCUCUUUGGUCUUUUAGGAAAUGGAAGAAUCUGAACAUCUUUUUGGCACCUUUUUUUUUUUUUUACUUUUCUCUUGAACCAAGGACAAAGUCAGUUUUCCUCCACCAGGAACUGGCUCCCCCUCCCCACCUGGUUCCAGCUCCUGCUGAAGUGGAGUGGCUGGUCUGGGGUGCUGGGGAUUAAGGACUGGGGGCAGGACUCUGGAGAGUCCCCCAUAGAGAAGGGCCCUUUUACUUAUUAAGUCCCACAGUUUUUAGGAGAAAGAGGAUAAUUUGUUCUCAUCACCAACACAGUAUGUAAGCUAUCUCCUUCCAAGACCUCAGUCUUUAAUCAUUAACAAAUUCAAUCAACAAUUGACAUACCCAGUCUUUGUCUGAUCUGAACUUUGGUCUCAAGAUGGAUAGGACAAUGAUGGGGAUUUGUGGCCAAAUGAAACAAUGAGAUUUUAUCAUUCUGUACUUUCUUCUUGCUUUUCAUCUGUGAGUUGUCAUCUUAAAUCCUUACCAUCAGUCUGAAGGGAGUAUAAAGGGGUAUUUUAUUCCCUAAACCCCUUGAUUCCCUAAAUUGUCCCGAGAGGGACAUUUAUUUCUAUUCUGCUUGUCCCAAAGCCUGAGGCUCAAUCUCUGGCAUGCAUGGAGGGGGAGGAAACCAAAAGCUUUACUUACUUGCAAUACAAUUUUUAAAUCUGGAUUUUUAUUGGACCUUUUAAUGAACUCUUGAUAGAGAAAACUCUUGAAAAUAGCAAAAGAACCUACAAAAUGUCACAAUGUAAAAUGGCUUCUGCUGUCUCUGACAACAGUUUGUUUGGUUCAGAAUUAAUAGACACUGGAAGCAUUAACCACUGAAUGAGGCAUCUGGUCUCAUCCUGAAAUAAAGGGCACAUCAAUACCCUGAGUUCCAAAGUUCUGUAAACCAUGAUUGUAAAACUGUCAAGAUGAAAAAAGCCAUUGUUAACUUUGCUUUCCAGACUGGGAACACCCCCUUCCUAUGGGCUAGGAUGAAUCUUAAAGGUAAACUCCCUAACUACAAAGGAUUGCUACAUCUGGGUUAAAAUUAACUGUCUUGGCCGGGCGUGGUGGUACACGCCUAUAAUCCCAGCACUGGGAGGCUGAGGCAGGAGGAUUAUUGUGAGUUUGAGACCAGCCUGGGCUACAUAGUGAGUUCCAGGUCAGUCUCAACUACAUAGUGAGACCCUGUCUCCAAACAAACAAAACAAAAAAAACCCCAAAAGACAAAAAACUAAAGUUAACUGUCUUGACUGUAAUUUGUGUAUCAAUAAUGUGAACUGAGAGAAUAAAAUGUAAUUGCCUGAAUGAGAUCAUGACAGUAAAACCCUAUAAAUGGGAAGCUAUAUCCCAGUACAGGGUUGAUCUCUGGCACUGCUUUUGAGUGCAAUCGGCCCUUCAUCAACAAAAUAAACUUAAUUUUAUUUCCAAUCUGCUUCUCUCUUUGUCGCUUACCAAUUCCUUCUGUAACAUUAUUCUUUUCUAUGCUGGUCACUCAUAUUUUGCAUCAUCAUUUAUCUUUGCUACCUCUUUGUCUUCUAUAGUCACUGAUUAUUUUAUUUGCUCCAUUAUCUGUUUACUUGUAUCUUCUGUGUGCUUUGCCAAGCACCUUGCUGAUGUUUUGUUAUCUGUUAUAUUUUCAAAUAACUUGGCUGUGUGGCUUUUGGUUUCCUCCCCAUUUAUGCCUGGUGGAGUAACUUUGAGUAGCUGAGAGUUCUUGGAGACAUUUUGUUGUCUUGUCUUUUCUUGUUUCUAUUUUUUGUUUUGUGUUGAGGCUUGCUGGUUGAUUAUAGUGGCAAGCUUUUUUACUAGUAUGGAGAUCUCUUUAAUGUCUACUUUUUAGUGGUGCCUUCUGGAUGUAGGUAACUACUGAUCAUUGCUCUUCUCAUCAAAGGAAAGAAUGAAUGACAACAAAAAAGAACAGAGAGAAAAAUACAAAAAAUGAAAGACAAGGGGGAAAUGGUUGAAAGGGGUAAAGAGAAUGAGAGAAAUUAAAAACACUGACAAAGUUAAUUUAAAAAACUCCAAAAUCCACCAAAACUAAUGAAGGAAAGAGAAAAUUAAUUAAGAAUUGAA